UGUAUGCACACAUGACUAAGUCGCUUUGGAUAAAAGUGUCUGCGAAAUAGCAUAUA
rfam:Salmo salar isolate Sally breed double haploid chromosome ssa09, whole genome shotgun sequence.